rnacentral:lncRNA from 1 species
CCAGUUUGUUCAUCGCAUCCAGAUUCUGCGUCGCCUCUUCCUCGCUUUGGCCUCCUGAUAAGAACACAAUCCCUGGCACUGCUGGUGGAACGGUUCGGCGAAGUGCGGUUACUGUGUAUUGCGCAAUCACCUCUGGUGCCUCCUGUGGUGAAUCGGUACAUGGUUUUUCAGACAUCAGUAUAAUAUAGGAAUUUCAUUGAUCGUAUACAUGAGAUAACAUAUGGGGUUUUACACUACCUUUAGGCUGUCAGAACCUGGAGUGACCAUGUUGGGCUUCAAAAGGGUGCCCUCGAGUAAAACAUGGUGAUCAUUCAGCGCCUUGUAAACAGCGGCAAGCACGGUUUCAGUGACAGCGGCACAUUUUUUAAUAUCAUGAGGGCCAUCAGUUAGCACCUCAGGCUCAACAAUGGGGACGAGCCCAUUUUCCUGACAAAUGAUGGCAUAACGAGCCAACCCCUGCGCGUUCUGCUGGAUAGCCAACUCGGAUGGCUCGUUGGGACCGAUCUUGAGCACUGCACGCCAUUUGGCGAAACGCGCACCAGCUUUAUAGUAUUGCUGACAACGCGCACCCAAGGAGUCGAACCCUUGAGUAGUGGUCUCGCCAUUGGUGCCGGCUAUCUCAACGGUGCCCUUAUCGACCUUGAUACCUGGAAUGACAUUGUUCUCUUCGAGGAUUUCAACGAAGGGUUUCCCGUCAGAGGUUUUCUGGUAAAGUGUUUCCUCGAAAAGAAUGACACCGGAGAGGCAGGAUAAUGCGUUGGGAGAGGUGAAAAGGAGCUCGCGGAGGGCUUGGCGAUUGGACUCGAUGUUCUCGACGUUGAUGCUCGAGAGACGCUUCCCGAUGGUGCCUGUGCUCUCGUCCGCCGCCAAAAUACCUUUGCCUGGCGUGGCGAUGUACUUGGCGUUCUUGAUCAACUCCUCUGGGGGAAAAUAUACAUAUACGGUUUAGUCAAAGCUAGGACUAACAAAAUCAUGCAUAAAAUAGCAUAUCUGUAAUGAAAAAUAUGAACAUUUAUGGUACGGAUCGAUCAAGUGUUGUGGUCACUAAGGAUUUACAUGCAUGUCCCCAAAUACAACGGAAUAAAACAUGCAGGGGAAGACAAUGAAAGCCAAAAUCCAAAACGGGAGUUCACCUGCAUACUUGCCAACAAAAGCCGACAUGGUUCAAGGGUGGAGAGGAAGAUAUAAUAUGGAUAACAACAAGAGGAAAAUACAAAAGCAAAUCCAAAGGGGUAGCACUCUUAUAUAGAUGAGGUGGUAAGGAAUAUGCAUGCAGGAAUCCAUGAGAUACCAUGCAUGAAGUAGGGUACACGUGUCAAAAGAAUAGCCCAUGGAAAAUUAUCAUAGUGGGAUAAAGUAAUGAGUGAUGGCAUUCCUGCCCAAGUGGCAGCUUAAAUCCAUGCAUUAUCCCGGGUUACAGUGUAUGCAGUGGAAUCGCAAAUUGCUUAUCCAAUUGAAGCUGUUGUUUAGUUGGGGGAAUCGGAGCAAACGAGAGAUGGAAACUCAAUUCCUCUAUUUUAGCCACAUCCUUAACAAUUGGUCCAAACGCUCGGCCUCAACUUAACAUGUUUGGCGACAACUUUCUUACUUAUUAUUUGAUUUUGAUAUAUCUGUCAGCUAACAUAAUUUCAUUAUGAUUCUCCACUCCAUUGAAUUUUCUUUUUUUAGAUAAUUAAAUGUUGAUUUAUUUUAUCAGACUUAUUUAUUUAGAAAAAGAAAUCAGUUUUGGCCUCAAUUAUUUAUGUUGGAAUUCUAAAAUAUUUAAAUUCAACUCACUCGCUUGAGCUAGAAAGGAUGAUUAGAGAUGAUGCGUAGAAAGGAAGAAAAGUUUCUAUUAAGAUAACCAAAAUAAUAUAGAUAAAACUCUUGAUUCCAAUCAUCAGUGCUCAAUUCCUGGUAACCUCAAAAUCUAAAAUGAAAUUUCAUUAUAUCGAAGUGAAAAUUUGUGGUUUAUAAAUACACAACAUAUUGGGGAGGCUGCUGAAUCAUUUAUUAAGUUGGGACCUCCUUCAGCCACUCCCCCUAGUACGAUGGAAAAGAUAAAAGCAAGUAGUUUUCUAUGUGAGGGUUUUACUAGGUCAGCUCUUUCCAACUUUCUGGUAUUUUAAGACUCAUUUUCAAGCAUUAUCUCAACAGAUGUUAAAGAUACGUAAAUGGCAACUCUAUUGUUCCGACACUUCAAUUUUUUUUUCUUUUGUACUACUUAUAUCUGACGCCUAUUUCUGACAUGUAUUCAAACUUGGAUAUAAGGAUAUGACUCUCCCAUGCUUGGAAAAACUGUAAAAGAAUUGAACAUCUCCAUGUCCGGCACAUCCCACCCAAGUUUGAGUAACAAUGACAAAAAAAGAAAUCAACCAUGGGACUCUAGGUCUGAUUUAAGUCAAAACUGUUUCAAAAAUGAUUAGGCGAAGCGCAAAAUGUACUAAAUCAUGCUCAGUUGAAUUCUCCGGCUCACAGUAGUUUCGCCAGGGGGAAGACUUUGAAUUAGACUAUUGAGAAGGGGGCACCACUUGCAGGUCAUCAUCAUCCGUUCCAAAAUAUCGGUCCCCGAACUCACCCAUACCAGGGAUAACACGGAAUUCUUCGUUUAAACCAAUAUCAAUCUCAGAUGUCACAAUCUUUACUCUUGGGAAGCUUUUGCACACCACAUGUACACCCUGAGGUGCCUGGGGAAUCAAGUGACAUGAUGGUAGAGCAAGAUGAUAAGUAAAUCUAAAUCUAAAUUAUUCAAAAGAAGAACCCCACAAUAUACUGAAAAUUGUAACAGCUUGAAACAACAAUAACUUACGGAUAUGAGAUUGAGAAAUAUGAUGUUGGAUUCCGGUACACCCUUUCUUAUAAGUAAUGAAAUAGCUUUGACAGCUGUAUUGCCUAUAAAAUAGUUGCAAUAUGUAAAAUCACUAGUCCUAGAUGGAUGAAAAAGAAAAAUAUCAUUGAAUUUUCACAGGGUGCUUUUAAAUACAAAUUCCAGCUGUGCACAAUUUUUAAACAUGUUAAACCAAAUGAUGUUAAAAAAUGGAAUGGAAUGAUAAAACAAAAUGGUUAACAUGAAAACAUGUUGCUAUUGCAGAAGUUAAUAUCAACCAUGAAAAGAAACAAACCCGUGCCGAGAAUAGGAUCCAGUAGCAGCACAUGCCUUUCUGAGAUGUCUUGUGGUAAUUUUUCAUAAAUAAGCUACCCAAUCGUAGGAGCAAGAAGGAAACAUAGUGAGAAAGUAGGCAAAUGAUCACAAAUUUUCAUAUCCGGAAGGUAGUUGAGUUUACAAACCUGCUGACCGUUGUCCUCACCUUCCCUAUGAAUAAGAAUCUUGCCAAUCUUGAUCCCUUUGCAACAUGCUCGCAAAGCAUUCUCCAUACUCUCACCACUAGCAUUGGUUUCAAAAGGUCAGUAGCUAAUGAUUAGAAAUAAUCUGUGUGGAGUGCAUUGAGAUAUAGUGUGAGUGUGUGAUAGACAAGCAAUAUGUUAAAUCAUGAUAGAUUCAACUUGUAUCAGAAAAGCAGCUGCACUCACUCCACCACCUCUGCUGUGGGUGUAGAACUAUCUGAAAUAUUUCAUUAAACUCCCCAAACCCAUUUAACACGGUAAACUACAAGAGUAUUAGUUUUAAGUUCACAUGCCUAAGGCAUACAAGCAGUAGUUAUGUUCUACCCUUAUAAAAUUACCACAGCGUCAAGCAAUUUCUACCACUGUCAUUGACAUGUUCCGAAGAAAGGUCUAUAUAAUACAAGUCAUGGAAUUAUUGAUCCAGAUGUUUAAGACUUGAGACAAAGUUGUACCUUCUAAUAACUGAUACACCGCAUAACCUCUUACAGAAAUCCACACCAGUAUAUACAGACCCUGCAUUAACAAUAGCACCAAUAUGAAUAAUUUAUGACUAACUAGCACUGUCUAAGCAAAUGAAAAUGAGCCAUUAUGACAGAACAUUACAGAAUCAACUUGAAACUUUCAGAGUAUAUUACAAAAUCCAAUUGCAGAGAACAUUUCAACCAGACAAUGUCAGAUCAGAAAUCUUUACAACUAGAUAUUACAUGCAUAACAUUAAUGAAGUUUAAGGAUAAAACCAUACUCAAAGUUUCCAUAACCUAAAGAAAACUUUACCGGAUGCCCAGGACUAGACGAAGUAACACCAGCUUACCAGUUGGAGUGAUCACCUGCUUUUCUGUAAAUGGAAGAUGUCCCAGCCCAUGUUCAACAACCUGGAAAAGAUCUUCAAUGAGUGAGAAACCCAAGGGAGCUUUUGUUGCAUUACAUUACCAUGUAAGAAAACCAGAAGACAAAUGAAUUGCAUAUAAGUCAAUAAACACCCACCAGACGAAUCAACCUAUCAGCAUAAAAAACAAAGUCAUGUUUCGUUGUUUGAGAGUCACGAAUGAGGGUAUGCAUGCCUCGUAUCUGCAUAAAUCAAAACUAUUUUCUUUUAACAAAUGUAUAUUUAUCUUCUCAAUACAUGCAGGAAAAAUAUUACACCUUUGGUUAAUAGCAGAAAAUAAAAAAUUAUAUACCUGGAAAGUUGAUUGAAUGACAUAUAGGUUUGGGUAGAUUUUACAGAGAUCAUGCUGGCCAAGCUUUGUCCUAAUAUGUUGCACAAUCAAAUCAAUUGCUACAUGAUUGUCCCCUCCGCGGGGAAUGAUAAUAUCUGCAUACUUCUUUGUUGGAAGUAUAAAGUCAUCGAAAGCGGACUUCACAAAUUUUGAAUACUGCAUUAAAAAUUAAUUGCAUUCUAAUAUAAGCUAAAAAGAAGCCCUUCCCAAAGAAGAGAAACUGGAAACAUUAGUGAUAAUAGAAAGGAUUUAUUGCAUUGAACAACAGCUGGAAACACUUUUAGAAGCUUAUGUAAAGCGCCAUUUCUAUUGUUUUAUGCCAGAGACAGACAAACAACGAGAUUGUGGUGCCCAGUUACUUUAAAACAAAAAUUUGUCAGUGUAAAUAGUAAAGCAAAUGUAGACCUGAUCAAGGACAACACCAAUAUCUCUGCCCUUCUCAACGGUGUCACGCCUUAUUCUUCUUGCCAAUCGUACAUCAGCAUCUGCACUGAAAAGUUUCAAUGUGAAGUAACAGCCCAACUUAGUAACACCAACAAAACAACCCAAAUGAUAUGUCCCCUACUAUACACAAGUUAUUCACUUAAAAUUUUCAGAAAUAAAUAAUAAAUCAACAAAAGGUUGUUGUUUCCUCAGCAACUGGGAUCUAUAGAUCUUUCAAGAGAAGAACACUGAUGUUGGAGGGUAAGAAAACUAUACUACAAUCAACAAUAUCAUAGAACUGCUUCUUUGUCUAGAACUAAACAAAUAUAGAAUUUAGGCAGUAAAAAUUUUUAAUCCCAGAUAUAUGAAGCACACAAAAAACAUCAUCAGCCAAAUAGUAGAGAUAAAAGUUUAAUUCAAUAACCUGUAUCAACAAAUAUUUUCAUGUUCAUCAACUCUCGGACACGAGGGUCAUGAAAAAUGAGUAUCCCUUCCAAGAUUAUAACAUCCGAAGGAUUAACCUGCAGAAAGUUUUGUGGCUGUGAGAGUUUCUGGACUUCUUAAAACAAGAAAUAUGAAUUGAAAUUCCAUUACCAAAGUUCCUUUGCUAUAGAAAAUUUUACAAAAGGGGAUGUGGAAAGACAUAUAUACCAUUUAUAAGGAAUUAUUAGAAAAUGUUAAGAGCUUGGACAUUGUACAUACAAAACAGUUAUAACUGAAUUCUAGUUACUAAAGGCAAAAGAUUUAUCAAAAAGUGGUUUCAUUGUGUACCAUGUUGAAGAAAUUAAUUUUGAGCGAACCUUGAACCAAAAAGCACCCAAGUACAAGAUGUAAUAAAUGUGGGAUCCAUUACAUAGUAACAAGCAUGCUGAACAUUCUGAGAACAUACCCUUCUUGCCGGAAAAACACUGUUCUUAUAACUCUUGAAAUCAUAAUUAGGAAUAUCUACGGCUUGACCAUGCCUCAAGUUCUCCAUAGAAUCUAAUAAUUUCUCUGUAUCAAAUGAAUCUGCAGAAAAUAACAACAUUGUAUCAAUAAAAUUCAAAGCAAACAUAAAGUGGAACACAAACAGCAUGCACGUAAAUUACAGUCAUACAUUUUGCUAAGGACAAUCGAUGCAGACAUGCCUUUUUUCGAUUUUCUGAUGAAUAAUACUCGAAUGCUCUCAGAACAUAUCAAAUACUUCAAAAUUUAGCACAAGUGAAAUAUAUCAAGCACUUAGAAAUUCAGAAUAUAAGGAAAAUAAUUUCUGAGAGCUCCAUUACUGAAAUAAUACAUAGAAAACAUUUUGUAAACAAUUAUUUUGAGAUGAAAGAUUGAUACUACGAGUCUUAGUCAAUCAAUAAGCAGAUCAACUCAGCAGAUCAUAGUGUUCUAGAUAUUUUUGAUCUCUGUUAGUAGAACUAUUCUCACCAGGAUGGUCAAAGUUGUAUUCAUGAACUGUUGCAAGUUCCUCUUCAGUGAGUUUGUGAUAAAAGGAAUCCUGGCACAUUGUUCAUGUUAAAAGUUUAACCAAUGGGUGACCAAUUGUUUCUAACAGUACAGAAAAAGAGAGGUAAGAGAAAGAGGUCAGAUCAAAAUGUUGAACGCUGUUCUUCAGCAAGUGAUGUUUAAUUGAUAAAUGCCACCUCUCUCUCCCUUCUUUGUUUGAAUAAUUGACAACAGUUAUAUUAUCUACUGAAUGCAGAGCCAAUUUAAUGACGGAGAACAGAACCAACAGAAUGCCAAAACUAUUCAUUUUUCAGAGACUCUAGUUUAGAAAGGAUUUGAGAAGAAAUAGGCUUCAAAACAGGCAGCAAGGUAUUCAAACACUCGAUAAAGCUUCAAUUAUUCAACUUUGGAAGUUCAUGGAAAUUACAAUUUACAUUGAAAAUUCCUUUCCUAAGUAAUCCUUAAAAGAAUCUGCAUUGGGAACUUAGAACAUUUACCUGAUUAACUAAUACUACACGCUGAUCAUGAAGCUGCUGAAUAAUCAUAUCGCAGACUGUAGUCUUACCAGAUGCUGCUCCCCCAGCAACUCCUAACCCAAAAAACAAUAGCCACAGUUAGAUAAUAAGAUGAUUAGAAAGACAAAGCUCAUAACAAAGUUGUAAGGAAGCAAACACAAUAACCAAACUAGUAUGAAAUAACUAUUAGUUCAGUGCCUUUAUGUAGUUUUUAAACCAUAACCCGCACAAAUUGAAUAAAAGAACCUUAUAGUCUUAUACAUCACUAUUAUUAACAAGGCUAGUAUCUCAAGCACAAUAAAUCGAAAACAACCAGUACUCGGAAGAAUAUUAUACUAUGGCAAUGCUAAAAUUUUUCCUCCAAAAUAAAUAAUGAGCUGGAUGUCCAUCAAGUUGUUAUCAGAAUUCUUAUCCAAUCUUAUUCGCACCAACUACUUUUGAUCAUUAUGGCAUCUAGAAGAUGGCAUGAAUAGUAACAAUUGCCAUGUUCAAACUUACCAAUAAUAAAAGGCUGCUUAUGCACAUUUUCAAUAGCCAAUGUGGUUGUAGGCUUCUCAAUAUUGUUUAACUUCGAACCAUCCAUAUGGAACCCAGAAAAAUGGAACCCUGACGAGCCCUCUAUCAUAUCCUCAACUGAUUUAGAAUCCAUAUGCUUGACCUACAAAUAAAACUUACAAGUAAGAAAACAAAUUCAUGAGAUUAGAAAUAAGAUAGAAGCUAAAUCCAAGUAUCCAACAGAUAUGCUAGACUCUGGCUUGAUUGAAUUGAGUCUCAGUCCAUUUCAUUUCUUUUCCAAGAAGCAAGAAACAUUCACAGAUACAACAAUCCCUAUCCCAUUCAUACAAUCUUCAAAAGGAAGUAAUGUUUUUCCCCCUUAUUACCAAUCCCCAUAAAAGAUAGCCCACCUUUGAUUUUACAUAUUACAAGUUCAACAAACAAACAUAAGAUAAAAAAAUAAGGCACAUUGCAAUCCCAUUACAGACAUUCAUUAAGAAGCAGAAUCAUUGUACAGAAAACCCAAGUUGCUUCCUUUAUUUCUCGGUUUUUGCAUAUUAUCAAUCAUCCUAAGCCGAUUGCUACAAACAAUCGUAACCAGUCAUACGUUCACAAAAAACACCGUAAUGCAAAGCACUGGCUUUUUGCUAUGCCACACCAAUCAAAUCUCUCAUACAAUAAAAUAGAACUAUACUCAAUAGAUAUAAAGUGAAACCAACAUAUAGAAAAAAGAGAGUUUAGCUCCCAAUCAACAUAAUACUUAACCCAAAAUGUGGAACUAAAAUCUAUAUAAUCCCUACAAAAUCACAGAUGAUCAUCACUCACUAUUUGAAAGAAUUAUAAAUACCCAGAUAAAAGAUAACAAAUUAACUACAAAAAGAAAAUCAAUUUCAGAUUCAGUUCAGCAAAGAUUAUUAGUUAUUUCCCAGAUCACUGAAUGCAGAAAAAAGAAAACACAACGUUAAAAAUAAAAUCAGUAAUGAAAACGAGGAUUAUUAAUUAAAAUUACCUGAUUUAAUGAAUGAUAAACCAGAGAAGGAGAGAGGUGGGCGAUACGGACAGGAUUGAUUGAUUGAUUUCGAGGUUUUUAUUGAGUUUAUUAUAUUUAAGAAUUUAAGACCCAAAGAUCUAUUUUCUAAACGAAAGGCAAAAUAGGAUUUUAUUUGGGAUGUAUUUUACUCUUCUAUCAUAUACCAUAUAUUCCCUCUUUCUAAUUUAGGAAUUUUUAUUUUUUACUAUAUUAUUUUUUCAAAUGAAAAAUCUACACGAGAAUCUUGUUUUUUUUUACAUUACUAAUAGAUGAAAAUUAAUUACGAAAAUACGAUGAAAAUAAUAUUAAUUACAAGAAUGGAUUAUUUUAAAUACUAACAUCUGGAUGUUGUCAAUUUAUCAUCGUUAUUAUAACUAAAUAGUUACAAUGAAAUUAAAAAUACUUUUUUUAACUCAUGUCGAAUUUUAUAGGUAUUUAUUAUUUUUUUUACUUUUUAUUUUGUAUGCAUAUUUACAAAUAUAAAAUACUCGUGUCGCCAACACUGCUCAGUUUGUUUGAUUGGGAAACGAGACAACAUCAAACCAGUAUUUAAUCUUCCUUUCUUCACCAAACAAAGAAAAAAUUUGGGUUGUUUUUUAUUUUCGUUGUGAAAAAUUGUUCUAAACAAACAAGAAAUGAAGAUUGAAGAUAAAAAAAUUAUAUUGUUUUUCAUUUUAGAAUUUUAGUUUUGAGUUGAUAAGGUUAGUUUUGAAUUAUUUUUUAUGUACUGUUAUGGAUAAUUAUGUUACUAUAUGAUGAAUGGUUGAAAUUUUCAUAUUUUAUGUUAGUUAAUGUUUGAGUUUUUAGAUAUGAUACGUGAUUUAUAAUAAAGUUUUGAAUUAUAUUUAUUUUAAUAGUAAUUAAUAUUUAUAUUUUAAUUUUAAUUUAUUUUAUAGAUUUAAUGUAAAAGAUGAAUAUUAAUUCUUCGUAUACGUCUAUUUCAAUGAGAUAAUUUGUCAUACGAAAGUUAAUUGUAUAUUUGAAUUGCGCCAUCAAAUAGGAAUAACGUUUAAUAAGGAAGUAAAACUUGAAGAAACUAAAAAAAAAUAUUGUUGCAAAAUAUUGAAUUUUCUUUUCUUAAAUAUUCUUUGAUUAUAUGUAUGUUUUGGAAUGAGGUAUGUGAAUGAAUAUAUUUUAUUAUUUUAUUAUAUAUAUGAUAAACUAAUUUUACUAAAUUUGUUAUUUCUAAAAAUUAAAUUAAGUGUAAUUUUAGGUUUUAAUAAAAUUUGGAAAUUUUAUUAAAAUAAUACUAAAAAAAUAAUUAAAUACAAAAAAGGGUGGGAAACAAAUUAAUUAUAAAAAUAGGAUGUUAGCUACUGAAUAUUAAUGAUACCAACCAGUCAGGCGACACCACCUCACUUUUUUCCCAAUCAUCAUGCAAUCAUACCGUUUUAAGAAAAAUAAUAUUUUUUAUUGGUGUUGUAUUUUCUUGGCUAUACGUGAUGGAUAAAAAAUAUUUUUUAUUGAUGUUGCUUGACGCACCAAUGACAUCACUUUAAUUAAAAAAAAAACCCUGCUGGAAAGAAAAGAGAGGGAAAAGAAAAGAAAAGAAAGCUGAAAAAAGUUAUUGCGGCUGCCUGACACCCUAUUGUCCAACAUGGCCAAUUAGUCACAAGCUCCUCCUUUCCCAUUAAUUUCGAAAUUGAGGUAGAAAAAAAAAUUCUGUAUUUUUUUUGUCUUUGUUGAAAUUUUGGGAGGAAAAGUAUGUUUGUAUUGAAGUUUUACGGAUAAAGUGUGAUAUUUUUAAGGUAUAUUUUUAAUAUUUGUUAUAAUAAUUUGUAUAUUAUAUAUGUUUAUAUUUCAUUUUAUUGUUAAUUUCUUUUACUGUAAUUGGUUGUUGGAAUUUUGGGAGGAAAAAUUUGUUUGUGCUGGAGUUCUAGGGAGAAAGUUUAAUAGUUUUAAGAUAAGUUUAUAUUGUUUGUAAUAAUAAUUUGUAUAUUAUAUAUAUAUAUUUAGAUUUUAAAUUAUUGUUAAUUUUUAGGUUUAAUAGUUAAGAUUAUAUUUUUAUUUGUAAAGAUUAUAUUUGUAUUUGAGUUUUAGGGAUAGAUUACGAUAUGUUUUUUUUAAUUUGUAAUAAUAAUUUGUAUAUUAUAAUAUUUUAAUUAUAAUAUUUAGAUUUAAUGUUUAAGAUUAUAUUUUAGUUUGUAAACAAAUUUGUUUGUAUUUGAGUUUUUUGGAGAAGAAAAGUUUAUUUGUGUUGGAGUUUUUUGUUUAGAAUUUUUAAUUUUUUAUGUUUGUAAUUUAUAUUUCACUAGAUUAGUUAUGUUUAUAUUUAUAUAUUUUUAAUAAAGAUACUUAAAAUUCAAUUGCAAAAUAUGUGUUACAGUAAUUUAUUUUAAUUGUUUUUUUGUUUAGUUGGUGAUUAAUAUUUUUAUUAUGUGAAUAUUUCAAGAAAAUUGGUUGUGGUAAAUGUUAUUACAUAGAAGCGUUUAUGUUUUAAAAUGAUAUGUUUAUUCAAUUUUAUUUGUGCAUAUAUUAAAAUGAGUUCUUUGAUUAUAACAACUGAUCACACAACCAUGAUGAUUAAUGUGUCAGAAAAAAAAAUUGUUACGUGCUAUUCAUGGGUAUAUUUAUAAAGUUGCACAUCAUUAUUUUUUUAAUUGCCAUAUUUAACUAAUACGUUAAAUUAUUAUAGACAGGAUGAGUAUUGCGUCUUGAGGGCGCGUGUCCAUGGUCCGAGCUACCAGCUGAACGAACUUAUUUUGCCCUAUUUGGAUGUUGCGGGAUUUGGCACAACAACAUUGAUUAGGAUGUUUGAGCUAAGGGUUGACUUAAUAUCCACUUUGGUUGAGCGAUGGUGUGUGGAGACCCAUACCAUCACCUUAGAAGAUGUUGCUUUGCAACUCGGGCUCCCAGUUAAUGGUGUUGCGGUCACGGGUUCAAGUAAAGUGAUCGAACCUGUGUCGCUUUACUAUUAGUUGCUUGGACGAUCACUAAGCGAUGGUGGUGCUAAGUUUACCAGAUUGAAAAUUUCUUGGUUAAAGCACAAUUUCAAAACCUUAUCAAGUAGUGCUUUUGAGUGGGAGAAGAUGUCCGUUGUUGGGGCGUAUAUAUUGAAACUAAUAGGGGGUACUCAUGCAGACGCAAAUAAUAAAGUCCACCUGAUGUACUUUCUUCUGUUGGUUGAUUUUCAAGUUACUUGUUCAUACAAUUAGGGUUCAGAAGUAUUAGCAACUUUGUAUUGUGAGCUUUUUGAGGAGAUAAAACACAAUAUACAAGAUAUGGAUAGGUGUCUGAUACUGUUACAAUAUUGGGCAUUGUACAAAAUGCCAUUUCUAGCAUCACUAAGUGACCAACAAUAUGUUUCCCCACUUGUGAAUAGGUUAAAAUUUUUUAAACUUUGAUUAAUAAUUAUUUUUUUAUGAAAAUGUUAUCUAACAAGUUUGCUUAUUGUUAGAUGGUUUACUUGUCCAGGGAUUGGGAAGCUCAAAACCCUUGUUGACUACAGACAAAUGAUUAAGGCAUACGCCGAGGAGGAGGUAAUUUUUUUGACAUUUCAUUUUUUAUAUCAUUUUCAACCCGGUCAUUUUUUAUAUAUCGCAAAGGUCGAUUAUCAAGCAUGUUAUCCCAUUUUAAAAUUGGUUUAUUGCCCAAGCCAAUACCUCCAGGAAUUUGAGGAAUUUUAGUGUGACUUGUCAAAUAUAUUGGGUCAUAUGGGAUUCCCCCGUUCUCUCGCCCAAUUGAGGUAAUUUUUUUCAAAAUAAAAUUAUAUUCAUGUAAUGUAAUUAUUUUAGUUAUGUUAUUUUACUCAUGUCAUUAUAACCAUCUUAUUAAAUAUGCAGUUCAUGUGGAUUUCAUAUGUUGUGUUAGACAUUGAAGGUGUAAUUACCCAAUCGACUUACCACCAUUCACAUGUGUGGUGCAUUAACGCAUCCGUGUUGGAAAUUUCAACCGUUGAGUGAUACAACAGGGAUCGAAUUCUACGAUAAUUCGAGAGUAAGCAAAACUUUACGGACGUUCCAAUGAAUUUCAAAAAUGUCCACAACAUUAGUAAAAGGGGAAAGGAUGCAAAUAAUUGGUCAUUGAAGCAACAACAAUGGAUUGUAAUGUUGAACGCCCGAGUGGAUAGGAGGCUUUGGUUAGAGUCUUGUAUGAGGAAUUUCACGCCCUCAGUCCACUACCAACGUUGGUAUAUGGAGAACGAGUUGCCAUAUUUGUUUGGUGGCCAGUUGAUGAUAGUCCCUAGACACAUGCACCCACGAGGGCAUCAACAAAGUGGAUUGAGUUGAUCUCUUUUAGAUCUGAUGCCUAAGUGUAGCAUUUUCUUCAAUAUAAACUUGUAAUUUUUUGAAUAGAUUGGUUAAUAAAAAAAUUCAUUGGUUACGAUUAAUAUACUUUGUAUUAUUGUCCUCAAAUGGUUUUUGCACACAAAGCAAAAUGGAAGCAAAUGUUACACAUUCGUUGUCUACUGUUUAACUAAUACUAAGUGAUACUAGUGGUUAGAUCGUAAUACGAAAAGACAACUUGUAUUAGUAGACGAACCUAAACAUGUCCUUAGCCUAAUCAAAAAUGAGCAAACCGAUUAAAAUACUAAUAUGUUGUCUAUCAAGUCCAAAUGAGGAGAUGCUGUGUCUUCGGCAUCGGAGUGGAUGACUCCCAGAAGAUAGAGACAUAGAUGUGACUAACUGAACUGACAGUACAUUGGAAAGGACUCAAGCAAAAUAGAUUCUGAAUUUUUUUUAUAUAUUUAUUCACUUGUGACGUUCAUAGUGUGGCAUACCUAAAUCCUGAGUGGAUGGCAGACUAUGUAUGCGUGACUCGUACACUUUGAUGUAAGAAAAAGCCUGAGUUUAAAUAGACAAGGAACUAAAAGCUGAUGCAUUGGGUGUACGACUUUUGCAGUAUAUAGUGUCAUUCACAAUAGUGGAAUUUAUAACCCAAAACAUGGGUAAAUGAUAUCCUCUUAUUGGCAUUAUGUGAUUAAUGAAAAGUAAAUGUGACCAUGGUUCAUCCAUCUUUGUGAUGGAUGACUUGAUCACUAUUUGAUAGUGAUUUAAUUUUCAUGAAGGAAAAUGUAAAAUAGGAUCAUAUUGGGAAAACAUAUAUUAUUCCAAAGAGAUCAAGGAUAUCCUAUGAGGGUAACACACUUAUGACAAGGUCAUUGUGUAUCAGGCCGUGAAAUCAGAACAAUUGUUUUGAGACCACAAAUUCGAUGAGUAAAUUAUUAUUUUAUUAUUAUUUUAAUAUCUAUGGGAUGUUAGUAGAGUUGUAUUAAAAUUUUGUUAAGAAAUUUUAUCAUUUGCAUGCUUAAUUAUGUAAAAAAGACUAAAUAGUAAAAAGUGCAAUAGUUGAAUUCUAGUAGUUAAAGGGGUCUUAUAACUAUGAAAUUUUAAUAUUAGUGGACUUAAAGGCUAGUUAGACCAUUAGUGUGGUUAGUGGGUAUCCAUGAUGUGGUUUUAAUAAAAUUUUAGUAAGUUAUUGAGGUUAAUUUUUUAAAAUAAGUUAAUGUUAAUAAUAAAAGAUGAAAUAAAACAUUAUCUUCCUCAUUUUGAACCCUAAGAAUUGGCCACCAUUGUUGAGAUAGGGAGAGAGUUUCGGCCAAACAAAAUUACUUUGCAUGUGAGUGAUUUUGAGCCCGUUUUUAAUGUUUUCUAUGUUUUUGAAGUCGUUGUAACUUAAUCUAGCUAGCCUGGGGAUCAAUUUGUAAAAAUGUUAAAUAUUUAGGGUUGUGCCAUGAAUGCUCUUGUGUGAUUCUUGAUAUUUAAUGGUAGAUUAUGAGUCAUUGUUGAUAAAAAACAAGUUUUGUAAAGUGAUUUUUGAUAAAAAUGACAUUUAGGGACUUAUUUAUAAAAUUAGUAAAAGUUCAAGUUAAAUUCAUGAAAUGAUUAUUUGUAUGGAUUGAUUUAGGUCCCUAGAGAGUUAAGCUAGCAAGAGAUGAUGAUUAAAAUGUUUAAAUUUGAAUUUAUGAGCUUAAAGACUAAAUUGUGAAAAAGUUAAAAUGUUAGGGAAAAUUGUAAUUUUGUAAAAAAUAUGAAAUUUGGACUAAAUUGAAUAAUAGAAGUAUUAAAUGAAUUGAAUUUAUCUAUUUAGAUUAAGAUAGACCACGUACGGACUUAGAUCGGGUGUAAUGGCGUAAAUUCAAUGUUAUCGGAACAGUGGUUUCGUAACCACAAAUCUGAUUUAAAGAGAAAUUUAUUUCAAUAUUUUUUCUUGAAAAUUUAUAUGAUAGGAAAAUCGUAUGAAAAUAUUGAUAGGAAAAUUUUAUCAAUUUAGUGAUUAGUUAGAAAAAGAAAUUAUUGAAGAAAUUGGGUAAAAUAAGGUAUCGGGACCUCUAUCUCAUAAAACCGAGUCAAAAAUAAUUUUAUAAAUAUUUAUGAAAUGUUAUUAAUGUGGUAUUAAAAUUUGGUUAGGAAAUUUUAAUGUUUGGGUAGUCAAUUAAAUGAAAAGGACUAAAUUGUAAUAGGUGUAAAAGUUGCUAGAGUGAUUAAAUAGCUUAAGAGUCUAAUGAGAAAGGAUUUAAAAGGCAAUUAGACCCAAAAGUUAUUUGGGCUGGACGGCAAGGGUAUGAAAUCAGCAGAAAAAUUGAUAAAUUAAGGGUAAAAUUGGAAUAUUGCAAAAUUAACUAAAUAAAACUAGGACUAAAUAGGAAAUAUCUAGAUUUCUCUUCAUUUCUCUUCAAUUCCAGCAGCUAAAAACGCCAUAGGAGGGUUCUCUAAGCUGGUAUUUCAUAAUUUUUGCACCAAGUGAGUUAAUCCUUGCCUUUUUCUUGUAAUUUUUGUAUUUCUAAGACUUUUACAACUAGGUCCUACUAUUAAAUUCAUUAGUUUUUGAUUUCAUGGAUGAAAUUGAAAGUCACCAUGGUUGAGUGCUGUAAUUUUAUGAUGAAAUAUAAUGAAAUUAAAGCUUUAAUUUGUUUAUGAUAUGAUUUUAUUAGGCAAUUUCAAUGGAAAUUGAUUUUUAGGACCUAAUUGUGAAAAUGUUUGGAAUUAAAGUCUAUUGCUGAAAUUCUGAUUCCUAAAGGUUGUAAACUAGUUUAAGGUUAUAGAAUAAAAUGUUAAUUGAGAAAAAUCAGCUCAAUUGAGAGGCUAAUUGAGUAGGGACGAAAUUAUCAUUUAUUAAAAGCUUAGGGGAAAAAUGGUAAUAAACAGCUUACACUAAAACAGUUUGGACAGCAGCAGUAGACUAACUUUGAAAAAUCACCAAAAUUUGUAGGAAUCGAAUUAGAAGAUGAAAAAAAUAUGGAAUUAAAGCUUAUUGAGUCUAGUUUCUCAUAGAAGAAAUAUUGUAAGCAAUGGAUUUGUAAAUUUUUAGAUAUAAUGAAUUUUGUGAGACAAGGUCAGAAUGAAUUCGGGUUCCCCUGUUCUGACUUUGAAAAAUUAUAAAAAAUUGAAAAAAAAUAAUUAGGGACUUAAAUUUAUAUGUCUAGAAUUCUGAAUGAAACAGGGGUGACUUUGAAGAAUAAACUGUACUGAUUGGCUAAACCAAAAAUUCUGAAAAUUUUAUGGUAAAAAUAUAUAUGAGUCUAGUUUCAGGGAAAAUUAACGGAUCUUAAUUUGGAGUUCCGUAUCUCAAGUUAUAAAUAAUUUAGUGACUAUGACUCAAGUAGACAGCUUUGAAUGAAUUAUAAAUAAUAGUUGAAUUAUAGAGAAUGUUGCAUAUGAACAUGAAAUGUAUUAAAUUGAUAAUUAAAUUUAUUUAUUUAGAUCCAGAAGAUUCAAAUAUGAAGCUAGAUCGAGGAAAGGAAAAAGUUCGGGAUUAAUAGAUUUUUACUGUUUACAAACAAGUAUCAAGGUAAGUUCAUGUAACUUGAAUUAUAUUCAUAAAUUGCUUGAGAUUGUAUGUUAUUGAUGUGAAUAUGAUUUGAAUGUUCAUUGUAUGAAAAUUUAUGAAACGUUGAUAUAUUUGAUAAAAUGGGAAGAAAUCCCGUUUGAAUGAAAGGAAAAUUCGAUGGAUCUCUGAAAAGGAAUUGAUGGUAAAAAGGAUCUAGCCCGGACGGGUGAUCCUAUCCUGAUAUAGCCCUCCCGAAGAAUAUGUGUAAAAUGGAUUUAGCCCGGACGGGUAAUCCGAAUUAGGGUCUGAAUUUAGCCUGGACUGGUAAUUCAGAUCCAAGCUCAUUAGAGUAAUUGUCGUUGCAGGGGAUUUAGCCUGGACUGGUAAUCCCGACAAUACUCUAUGAGUUUAUAUUGCAGGGGAUUUAGCUUGGACUGGUAAUCCCGCUGCAAGGUUGAGGUUCGCGGGAGUGUGCUUUCUGAAAUGGAAAUGUGCGCACAUGAAUAUGAAUUGACGGACCCGGAAUUGUACAAUAAAUGUGUACCUCUGAAAAUCCAUCGAAAUUCCGAUAAAUUCAACGGGAUAAAUAUGGAAAAAUAACAAGGAAAUGGAAAUCAUGGUAUUGACGAGCUCAUCAAUCAUAGUAUAUAUUAUUGGUACAUGGAAAUUAUUGUACUAACUUGAAUGUUGAGUUUGUGCAUGUUAGGGUAAUAAUGCAUUGAAUGGAUAUAUAAAUGUUUAUUAUAUUGUAUUGAAAAUAUUAGAUAAGUAUAAUUCUUGUUACAUGAGCUUACUAAGCACAAAGUGCUUACCCCGUUUCCUUUUUCCCUGUUUUGUAGUGUUAAGAGCUCGGAGGUCGGAUUUGGUCGGAGACACAUCACACUGUCAACCUCAGGAUUUCGGUAUAUAAAGAAACUUUAUUUUGGAAAUCAAUGGCAUGUAUAAGCUAACAAAGUAAAUGUUAACGUGAAAUGAAUGUAAAGUUAGCCAUUAGUAUGGUUAACAAACCUAGUUAUAGAUAUGUGAUGACGUUAUCUUAUAUAAAUGCAUGAAUCUAUCAUGAAAAUAUGUUGAAUUAAAAAAAAUUAAUUCGUAAACUCCGGUAAUGCCUCGUACCCUAUUCCGGCAAUGAAUACGGGUAGGGGUAUUACAUUGGGGGAAAAGCUAAAGCCUCAGAUUAAUUGACUUUGUUUUUACACUCAAAUCGUUGCGGUAAGUUCAUAGGAAUAAUUAUCAUUUUAAUGUUAUUUUCUAUUAUAUGUUAAUAUGUUAAUUGUCAUAUAAUUAAAUGAUGAAUAUCCAAUAAUGCCUUGACAGUUACCGAGUCUUGGUUGAACCUUAGGAAUUCGUAGGAUACAAAUGACAUGUCAUUAGGAUUUUCAUGUUUCGGGUGCUGGUCUUGAAUGUCCUCUCGAUGGCUGAGGUCCUGCAUUUUUUGUAUAUACUCCACAGCUCGUGUAAGCAGGCCCAUUUCACAGCUCGUGUGAGCAAUGAUGUAAAGGAAAGGUUACAGUUAUAUGUGUAAACACACUUCGUAUAAGCUUUCCCGAGUAUCUGAUGAUAUUCUAAAUGGUUCAACCGACAUGAAAAGGAAAGGAACGGUGAGUGUUCAAAUGAAAUAUGUCUUGUAAUUAUGAAAAUGAUUGAAAUGGAAAGCUUCAAUGGAAGUAUACUUAUGUUCAUGAAAAUGAUGAAUUCAAAAGAAGUAUGCUCAUGUACAAAUAGCUUACCUUAUGUUAAUUCAAAUGAAUUAUGUUUGAAUGCAAUAACAUGUGUUGUUGAUGGUGCUUAGGCUUGUGCCAAGCUUGCAGUUGGAUUAUAUCAUGCUUAAUCUUAAUGUUAAUUAAUGAAAUUGUAAGUUAUGUUUCAUGUUUUACGAACUUACUAAGCAUUAUAUGCUUUUGUAGUUUUCUUUCCUAUGUUUUAUAGAUAAUCAGAAGCUCGGUUAGUUUGGAAGCUCAUUGGAGGUAUAUCACACUAUUCAACAUAAAUUUCGGUAGUUUUUAAUGUUUUGUCCAAGGUUAUAAUGGCAUGUAUAGGUGGACUUGUUAUGAUAAUUAGUUGAAAGUUAGUUGAUAAGUUUGGCAUGUAUAAGUUAUUUUGGUUGGUAUACUUUUGGUACUUUUUGUGCUUUAUUAGUAUGUGUUAAUGUGCAAUGAUUUGAUGCAUAUUUGAAUGAACAAAAUGGUAUGUGAUAAGCUAAAUUCAGUAAGGUGAAGAUAUGGUAAGUUUUGGAAAUGGUAUUGAACUAUGUGUGUAUGUUUGAGAUGUGGUAAAGUGCAUAUGUUUAGGUAAGUUUGUAUGUUUGCAUUUGAGGUGCCUUAUAUGGUAUAUUGGUUGAAUGAAUUUGGACUAUUGGAUUGGUCAUUUCAUGUUGGUUUUGGUCAUGUUUUGAUGCUUUAAUUAGGUGUUCUAAAGGUCUUUAGCUGGUUGUUUGAAUUGGUGAUAGAAAUGGCUUUUUUUUAGGCAAAUUCAUGUUCACACGGCUUGAGACACGGGUGUGUGACUCAGCUAUGUGUGACACACGGCUAGGCUACACGGCCGUGUGUCCCUUGUAGGUUUUAAUACAUGCAAGUCAGGCUGUUACACAACCUAGCAUAUGGUCUAGCACACGAGCGUGUGGCUUGGCCAUGUGACCCAACUCAGAGAGUUACAUGGGUAAGGACACGGGCUGAGACACGACUGUGUGUCCUUAUUUCGAUUGUUACACGCCUGAGACACGGGUAUGUGUCUCAGUCAUGUGAGGCAUACGGCCUGGCCGCACGACCGUGUGACCCAUGCAGUCUAUUUUUUCUAACUUUUUCAUGAACUUUCCAAUUGCUUCCAAUUUGGUCCCGAAUUGAUUUUAAUGUAUUUUUAGGGCCACGAGGGCUCGAUUUAGGGACGAAUUUCAUGUGAAUCAAUGAAUUAUAUCAUGCUAAUGUCAAUGUAUGAAAUGUAUGUUUAAUGUUCAGUUUGUUCAGUAAUGCUUCGUAACCUUAUUUCAGCGACGGAUACGGGUUAAGGGUGUUACACAUUGGAUGUGCAUUAAGUAGUUGCUUUUGUAAUGGUAUGUCAUUGGGGAGAGCUCAGUCACAAUACCGUAGUAGAAUGAAUUUGUGACUAAAUUAUAAUUAAUAGGCGAAAAGUCAGAACUUAAUUAUAAAUCAUUUGAGCCUCAACUACAUAUGUCCAAAUGGUCCAUCCGCUAGCUCGUUGAAACUAAAAAUGAAUUGCGUAUUUGAAUAGAAAUGAAUGGAAUGAAUAGGAAAAGGGAAAUGAGAAACAUUUAGGAAUGAUUAUGGUUUUCUCUAAAAUGGAGAAAUGGAAUUAUUUGGAAAUGAAUGUAGUUUCCAAAAAAUGAAAAUGAAAAUGAAAAUGAAAAUGAUCCAUUUGCAAUCCUAUAUGGAUUACUUAAAAAAUGAUUGAAAGAAUAAGUUUAUAUUUUUAGACUGUUUUGAAGCUUGAAAAUGAAAUUAAACUACUCGGUUCAUAAUGAACAUUUUCAGUUGUGAAAUAUUGAACAUAUUUUUUUCUCAAAAUUUUACUAGGGGCAAAAUCGUCAAAAUUUUACCAGGGUAAAAUCAUCAAAAUUUUGUUGGGAGUAAAAUAUGGAUUUCAAAAUUGUUAUAUAUAUAAAUAUUAAAGUUUAUUUUAGGAAAUAGAAAAACUAAAUCGGGUUGGAUCACAUUACAGAGUAUUGGGUCAAAAAGGCCCAAGAAGUACUUGUAAUUGGACCCGAUGUGAGAGAGACCCAAAAACCCCUCAUGGACAUGAAGGGGGUGGCAACCCUAAUAGUAAUACUAGGGUGUUCCAUCCACCCUAAUCCUAUUCUAAGUAGGAUGUUGUUUUUCUAUUUGAAAUAAACCACUACAACUCAACAAGGGUUCUACCUUCUCUUUCUAUAAAUAGAUGGAAUAGGUAGAACUAUAAGCACAACUUUGAGAGAUUGUUAUUUUUCCGAAAAAUAGAGAGAAUUUAUUCUCAACUAUUACAAAUAUUUUUCUGGAAUAACAAAUCUACUGAUUUCUAUUCAGUAGAGAGAAUUUUCAUUUUCACCCCAAAAGGAGAUAAAAUUUUUUCUAGUUUUGUGUUUCGAUUCAAUUCGUUCGAGCCCACACUCGAAGCAGUUCGUGGUACGAGAAUAGUGGAGAAGAUAAUUUAGUUGAAGGAUGGGAACAACGAACAUCCGCUAGGCCGAAAACAUAGAUGCAAAUUCAGUUAAGGUUUAUUGCUAUAAAUAUCAUAAACCGGGUUGUUUUUCAAAAUUUUAAUUUUUCACUGUGCAAGAAUACUGUUUUCAAAAUGAGAUUUUUCCAACAAUCCCAUCCUUGUUGAAGACAUUGGUCUUUGCUCUUGAUCCCUAGCCCGAACCUACGAGGAUAGAUACACAAUCAAAGGGUAGUUCUUAUCAUUCGGAGUUGCGCAUUGAUAGUUUUGUGCUGGGGGUUCCAAGGCUAUGCAUAUCCUCCGGAGAUGACCGAUUCUAGUUCUAAUCAUCAACAACCAAGGUCAUCAAUGAUGAUUGAUAUGUUUAGUUCUACAUCUCAAUACUCCACAACUUCCGGGCAAAACUUUCGGACAUAUGAUUUUUCGAGUUGCUUUAAUACACCUCAUGGUUCCCAUUGGUGUCAGAAAAUGUGAUUUUGGGACAAUGUUUCUAUAAACUGAGUCUAUAAAUGUUAAAUAGGGAUAUUUAUGGAUUUAAUAUGUUAUUGAAUUGAAAUAUUUCUAAGUUAUUUAGCUGAAUUUUUGAGUAAUUAAAGUUUAGGAACUAUAUCGUAAAAUUUUAAUCGUUAUAGGAUUUUAAUUAGAAUAAGGCUUGGGGACUUCAAUAGCUAUUAUCCAAAAGGAUCAAAAUGGAAAAUAGACCAAUUUGAGAUGGAUGUUAGUGGGAUAUGAUGUUGAUUAUCAUUAUAUUAAUUUAAUUAAAGAUUAAGUCUAGUUAAUCAUAAUUUAGUUAAUUAAAUAAGUUUAAUUAAGUUUAAUUUAAGUAUAUAUAUAUGUAAAGUUAGUGGAAAAAGAUGAUAAACAUCAUCAUCUUCUUCCUUCUUGUGUCAUCCUCCAUUGAAGGGAGCUUUAAAACCCUUAUUUAAAUUUGACUAGCAAAUUCAAGUAAGUCCCUAGCCAUUUUUCUUUAAUUUUUAUAAAUCUGAGGUCAUGAGAACUUGAUUUAGCUAGCCCAUGUACCAAUUUGUAAAACUGUUAAAGUUUUUUUUAAAGUUUUCAUUAUUACGAAUUGAAUGAAAUUGGUGUGAAAUUGUUAGAAAUUACGCUUAAUAUAUGAAAAGGGCUAAAUUGUAAAGCUUAAUUGUUAGUUUAGUAAUUUAGGGACCAAAUUGAAUAAAAUGCAAAAAAAUCAUGAAAUGUUGAUAAGGAUAGGAAAUAGAAGGUCCCUAAAGAGUCAUGGUGAAAUCAGAUUCUAAUAUGAGACCCUAAAUUGAAAGUUAUUAUUAUCCCAAUUUUAGAGACUAAAUUGAAUAAAUUGUAGAAUACGUGUAAAUUGAUAUCUUAUUCUGAAUUGGCUGGAAAUUGAUUUAAUUAUUUGUAGCUAAUGACAACACCAAACCGUCAAGAGGGAAAAGGAAAGCUAAAAUUAUCGAUGAGUGACGUGUGAAACCCCGAUUUGUACUUUUAUGAUUUAGGAUAGAAAUAUUUGAUUGUAUAUGCAUGUUUAUUGAUUGAUGAGUCAUUUAGGUGAGUCUAAUAUGAUAAAAUGAAAUGUUUUGAUUGAGUUGGUAUGGAUUGUCAGGAUAAAUGACUAAAAUGAAUAAAAUGGGGAACAACAUGAAAUACUUAAAUUAUGAUAUUUAAUAUGAAAAUUGUAUUGAAACGUGUCAUAUAAUAUGAAAUAUAUGUGUUUGAUGAUAAAAUGGGGUUUCGAUUGUGAAAUUUAUUGAGAAAUGAUAUACGUACUAAAUUGCAAAAUAUUUGUUAUGCGAUAGAACAUGUACAUGAAACGAAAAUGCAUGUGAUUGAAUACAGGGUAUGAAUAUGUAAGUAAGAUGAUUAAAGUUAUGGAAAUGCUUAUCUACAUAAUUAAUGCUCGUGUUGUAAUGGCCUAAUUUUCAGUGGUGUCAGAAAUGGUGAUUUGAGAUCACUAAAUUUGACAAGUAAGAUUGAACAAGAUAGUAAUUUAUUAUUUAUGAGUCAAGAAAGAAUUUAGAAGAAUUUGUGAAUUGGUAAAUUUGGUGAAUUAAAAGAAUUUAUUAGGUCAAACGAGUCAAAAAUGAGGAAUAUUUAUGGAGUGUCAUUAAGUUAGUAUUAAAGUUUGGUUGAGAAAUUUUAACGUUUGGGUAGUCAAUUAAAUAAAAAGGACCAAAUUGUAACAAAUGUAAAAUUUGCUAGAAUGAUUAAAUAGCUCAAGUGUUAAAAGAAAUAGGAUUUAAAGAGAAAUUAAGCCUAAAAGUGAAUAGGCUGGACGGUAAGGGUAAGAAAAUCAGCAGAAAAAUAAGGGAAAUAAGGGCAAAAUUGAAAAUUUUACAAUUUUAACAUAUAAAAUAAGGACAAAAUUGAAAAAUCUAGAGAUCUCUUCAUAUUUUCUCAGCCAAGACGCCAUAUGAGGUAUGGAGAAAGCUGGUUUUUCAUAUUUUUACAUCAUGUGAGUUUAAUUCUUGCCUUUUCUUGAUAAUUUUUAUGUUUUUAUGACUUUUACAAUGAGGUCCACUUAUAGAAUUCAUUAGUUUUUGAUUUGGUGGGUGAAAUUGGAAGUUACCCUGGCUGAUUAAGGGAAUUUUAUGAUGAAUUAUUAUGAAAUUUAAGUUCUAAUUUCAUAUUAAGGUUGUUUUAUUAAGUGAUUUUGAUAAAAAAAAAGGGUAUUUAAGACCUAAUUGUGAAAAAGUUGUGAAUUAAAGGUUGGUGUUGAAAUUCAUAAUAUCAAAGGUUGUGAAAUAGUUCAUAAUGAUAAAAUAAAGUGUUAAUUAAAAAAAAUAGUUCAAUUGAUGGGUGAAUUGAGCAGGGACUAAACUGUAAAAAUUGUAAACUUUAGGGUAAAAGUGUAAUUUUAAAAAUUAAAGAGCAUAAAUUAUGAAGUAAAAUAGAAAUGAAAUAAAUUCUAAUGAGUGAAAGUAUUUUACAUUAUAGAUCAAGAAUCCAAAGAAGAACGAGGAAAAGAAAAAGUUGCGGAAUAAUCCCUAAAUUUCAAUAUCUUCUACAAAUCAGCCGGGUAAGUUCAUAUGGUUGAAUUUACAUGUUUAUUUGUGAAUGAUUGAAUGAUAAAAUGUGUUAUUAUAUAUGAAUUUGUUGUGGGAUCGUUAAAAUUAUGUUAAAAUGAAGGAAUAAAUAUGGAAAUUCAAAUUAGAAAAAACGCAGGAUUGAGUCUGUUUGUAUCGUGACAUGUGAUGAAUUGACGGAUAAGCCCAUGGUUGAUCCAUGGAAAAGUGUGAAACGUAAGGUACAGUGUUAACCAUACUGAGUUGUGAAACGUAGAUUCCAUACUGAGUUGUGAAACGUAGGUAUGGUAUUAACCUUACUGAGUUGUGAAAUGUAGGUAUGGUAUUAUCCAUAUUGAGUUAAAAACGAAGGUAUAGCAUUUCCCAUACUGAGUUGUGAAAUGUAGGUAUGAUAUUUCAAUGAGGAAAACCAUACUGAGUUGUGAAUCAUGGCACUGAGCAACGACGUACUCAAUUUCAUAAGACAUUCCUAAUUUUGAUAAUAAGUAAUAUAUGAGGUGUGAACUAAAAUGAAAAGGGACCGUGUAGUUGCUAAUGUUGAGCUCAACUAUGUGAAGUAUUAUAACAAUGGUUGUGGAUGGCAGGGAAUUUUAGUAAAUGUUUUGUUAUUGUUUGGAAAUAUUAUGUUUGGUAAGCAUUACUUUCAACUCUAUGAACUUACUAAGCUUCAAUAAGCUUACUUGUGUGUGUUUGAUGUCUUUAUGUAGAUUGAAUUGAAGUGAAGUUGGUAGACCGGAUCAUCACAACAAUGCAUACUAUCCAGAUCAAUUUUGGUAGCUUUUGUUUUAUGUUUAAAGAUUUAUAUGGCAUGUAUAGAGUUUAAAUGAAAUGAAGUAAAGAUGUUAUAAACUAGUUAACAAUAUUUUGCACGAAAAUAGUUUUUGGUUAGUAGCAGUAGUUUGAAUUUGAAAAUUCACCAUAAAUUAUGGAAAUCAAAUUAAAGGUUAAAUAAGAUAUUAAAUUAAAGCCUAUUGAAUCUAGUUUCACAUAGAAGAAAUGGUGUAAGGAAAAAACUUUCAUAUUAUGAGAUACUUGAAUUUUUGUGAGACAAGGUCAGAUUGAUUUCGAGCUCCCCUGUUCUAACUUUGGAAAAUCAUUAAAAAUUAUAAAAAAAUAAUUAUGAGUUAUAAUUUAUAUGCUUAAAAUCCUUGAUAGCAGAACAGGGGUAACUUCGAAGAAUAAACUGUACUCUUUUUCUAAUCCAUAAAUUCUAAAAAUUUUAUGAUAGAAAGAUAUAUGAGUCUAGUUUCAAAUUCUUUUUACAGAUCUUAAUUUAUAAUUCUGUAGAUUAAGAUAUAAAUAAUUUAGUGACUAUGACUCGAGUAGACAGAUUUGAUGUGAAUAUAAGUAACUAAAGGAAUUUACGUGUAAUUAUUCUGUAAACUUCGGUAACAUCUUGUAACCCUGUUCAGAUGAUGAAUGUGAGUUAGGGGUGUUACACGUGUGAUUUUAGGAAAAGGUUAUGAUAUGAUUGACAUGCCAAUAGGGUUUUAUGUGUGCUUGUAUAGGAUGUAACACCUUAUACCCGACUCAAUUGCCAGGUCCGGGUACCAAAUGUCACAAUCAAUUCAAGUAUCUUAACAAAAUACUUAAUUGAUUUAGUUAUGUAUUUAAUCAAAUCUCUAGAUUUCAAAUUUUAACUUCUACUAAAACUCGUUAUACAAGAGAUAAUUUCUUACAACAUUGAUACCUUAUUAAACCUAGUAGUUAUUUACAAAAUUUUAAAUUAAGACUUUGAUACAGAUAAAUAUCCAAUUUAAUCCCGAGGUAUGGACUCUAAGGGUGCCCCUCUAUAUACAUGAAACAACUAUCACGCCCAUCACUAACAUCUAGCGGUGUUUUGCUUGGUCCCUCCACUUGAUUCCCGAGUCUUUAUCCAUCUUGCAUAUAAGCAGUAAAUUUUAUAAUUUUAUAAGUUCAGAAGAACUUAAUGGGAUCAUGUACUCUGAUAUUCAUAGAUCUUAUGCACAGAUGUAAAACUCCAUGAAGUUUGUAGGAGAAUUCGUAACUUUGAUGGCGUAACCAAUCCCUUGUUUUCUUUAAAUUAAUUGUCAGUGGACAUAGACUCCAACCACAACUAGGUUCUAUCAAACCUUAUGUCUUAUAGGUCUUAACCCUAUUUAUCGUUAUUCUAGUAUUUCCUUAUACCCUUCAUUGUAUGCCUCAUUACUGAACACCCAUAUUUGCUAUCACGGAUUGGCAACACCUAUUGGCGUUGUAACUAAGACUUCUCUAUAAUUUUGGAUCCCUUACUUUGUCCUAUUAAUCCACUUAGAACUCUAUAUGUAUUUGUCGUACUAUUUAGAUAGUAUCUUAUUAUGAAUUAACCUAUGCUUGAUCCCUUUCCUGAAUGGGGUCUUAUUCUAGUAACCUCAUUCGCGGACUUGAAUAUGAUACUUGGCUGACUAAAUUAACACUCUCUCUUACCCGUGGUAAUCCCACAUUUCCUUCCUCGUUAUUCUAGUAUUUCCUUAUACCCUUCAUUGUAUGCCUCAUUACUGAACACCCAUAUUUGCUAUCACGAAUUGGCAACACCUAUUGGCGUUGUAACUAAGACUUCUCUAUAAUUUUGGAUCCCUUACUUUGUCCUAUUAAUCCACUUAGAACUCUAUAUGUAUUUGUCGUACUAUUUAGAUAGUAUCUUCUUAUGAAUUAACCUAUGCUUGAUCCCUUUCCUGAAUGGGGUCUUAUUCUAGUAACCUCAUUCGCGGACUUGAAUAUGAUACUUGGCUGACUAAAUUAACACCCUCUCUUACCCGUGGUAAUCCCACAUUUCCUUCCUCGUGCUAUAUAACCCGGAUGGACUUUCGUUUCUUCUGCUAAUUUCUGGCCAACUUUCCACUCAAGUAGGCCUCCAUAGACUUUUCGUGCUACCAAGUCUUAACCUGACAUCCACUUUCUCUAUAGAUCUUUGGCAUACUUUACCGUACAAAACGUUUAGCUUAGAAUCUACUUUAUUGACUCACUUAUCGUACCUAAUGCUAGUUUACUGGCCAACCACUAGCGAACUAAUAAUGAUGGGUACUUUAUACUUCGAAGAGGGUAUCCCUUCCAUUACCUCUGCCUUGUUAAGGCCACAUAUACCAAUUCCUAUUUUCAUUGCAAUUUAGCGAAUUCCCUUAUUAACAAGCUUACCCACAUUCUCAAACACUUUUACCUAUUUUCUCCUUUUCUUAGUUUGGCGGAUUCUCUUACUAUGUCGUUUACCUGUGUUCUCUGACGUGUCGCAUUCAUUAUAUUAUGCUACUUGCCAUGUGAGUCAUAUAUGAUUUCCCUUUUCUUUUCAAAUCAGCUUCUUGGUUCACCAUAUUAGUGGACUUUAUUUGAUGCCAUAGCCCAACUAUAGUCUUACACACUAUGAUCUGAUGUUUACUAUCCUAGCGGACUUUAUAUGUUGCCAUAGCCCAACUAGGGCCUUACACUAUAUGAUCCCAUGUUUACUGUCCUGGGGGACUUUUGAUUCUGAGGAAACAAUAAACCACUUUCGAGGUGUUUCCCCUUAGGGCCUAUAAACCAUUUACACGAUGUUGCCUCAAAGGACUAAUCAAUAACCGCCAUCACAGUGUCACUCCAUAGAGUCGAUUGACCGUUGUUACGAUGUCUCUCUAGCAAGCUAGUCGAUAAUUGCCAUCGCGGUGUCGGUCUGUAGUGUCGAUAGAUCAUUAUCACAGUUUCGUUCUAGGAAGCCACUCGAUACCAUUCCAUAAUGCCGCCUAAACUCCUUGUAUACCCAUUUCAAUCUGCCCAUUCCUCCAAUACACCAAUUAUUCCUAUCUUCAUCUACUCCGUCAAGAUAAAUUCCUCCAUACUCCACAUGUAACACCCCUAACCCGUAUCCGUCACUAGGAUGGGGUUACAAAGCAUUACCGAUCAUAGCACAACAUAAAUAUAUUUGUCAUACAUGAUUCAACUUCAUAUAAACAUCAAUCAAAUAUAAUCACAUUGUCCCUUAUAAGGCUCUACGAGAGCUUAAAACAUGCUUGGAAGAGGUUCGGGACUAAACUGGUAACAUUUGAAAACUUUGGGAAACUAUUAAAAUUUUCAUGAAAAUAGGGAUCACACGCCCGUGUGAACUGGCCGUGUGCUUCACAUGGCCACCAGACACUCUUGUGUCACAACCCGUAUGGAAACAGGGAAUACAUACUGACUUGGGUCACACGACCAACCACACGCCCGUGUAUCCAGCUCGUGUGCCCUUUGAAAUGGUCAUACAUGCCUAUGAGCUAGGCCAUGUGACCUUUAGAGGGUAUAUUGACUUAUACCACAGGGCCGGUCACAUGCCCGUGUGUGAGACCGUGUGGAGUAUACUGACUUCAAUUUAAUUUCAACACCAGGGGACACACGGCUUUGUAGUAUGACCGUGUGUUGCACACGGCUGAGGCACACGCCCAUGUGGACAAAAAUAGACCAUUUGUAAGGCCAAUUUGCCACCCUUUUUCAUGAUCACCUAAACAACAACAAUGGUACUAAUUCAUCAUACAAUUAGGAAGCCUAAACAUCCAUUACUAUUUGUACAUUCAAACGCAUACCAACUAGCAUGAUUCAUUCCUCAUUACUCACCUAUUCAAUCAUAUACCAAAGUACAUAUUAUACUUAUCAAUACAACCUAUUUCAAUAUGUAUUUUUACUGCCAUCAAUCACACACAAAGCUUGACUCAUAAAUCAUCUAUUAGCCAUUCAUUUAUUAAGUCCAAUUUCAUACUUUUCAUAAGUAAAUAGUUAUCAUAUACCAAUUGACCAAAUGAUCAUCUUGAACCAUCACCAACCAUACCAAAUUAUGCCAUUACACAAGGCAAAUUACACAUCAAACAUAAGUCAUUAAUAAGCCAUAUAAAAUGGCCAAAUAUAUCACCAAAACCUUUAUAAAAAAGACUCAAGCCUAUACAUGCCAUAUAACCAUAUCACAAAUGUGUAAAUACCGAAAUAAAAAAUUGGAUAGUAUGAUGCGAUCUCUGCCGACUUCCAACCCGAGUGAACGUCAGAAUCACUAUAAAACAUAGAAAAACAACACAAAAUAAGCUAUAAAGCU